rnacentral:rRNA from 1 species
GACGAACGCUGGCGGCGUGCUUAACACAUGCAAGUCGAACGGAAAGGCCCUGCUUUUGUGGGGUGCUCGAGUGGCGAACGGGUGAGUAACACGUGAGUAACCUGCCCUUGACUUUGGGAUAACUUCAGGAAACUGGGGCUAAUACCGGAUAGGAGCUCCUGCUGCAUGGUGGGGGUUGGAAAGUUUCGGCGGUUGGGGAUGGAAUCGCGGCUUAUCCGCUUGUUGGUGGGGUAGUGGCUUACCAAGGUUUUGACGGGUAGCCGGCCUGAGAGGGUGACCGGCCACAAUGGGACUGAGAUACGGCCCAGACUCCUACGGGAGGCAGCAGUGGGGAAUAUUGCACAAUGGGCGGAAGCCUGAUGCAGCAACGCCGCGUGCGGGAUGACGGCCUUCGGGUUGUAAACCGCUUUCGCCUGUGACGAAGCGUGAGUGACGGUAAUGGGUAAAGAAGCGCCGGCUAACUACGUG